rnacentral:tRNA from 2 species
UGGGUCGUCGCCAAGCGGUAAGGCACGGGGUUUUGAUCCCCGCAUACCAAGGUUCGAAUCCUUGCGACCCAGCCA